CUGGUGAGCAGGCACACAGCGCAUGCUGCAGGCAUCAGAACCAGAGGACCUGGAAUCAGGUUUUGAAGAGUCCGUCAAAUUCGGCCAAAUGCAGCCGUGCACGCCUCCUCCCAGAUCUUCUUUGGGCAGCAACCUUGCAGAGCAGGGCAGGGUGGAGAUUUUCUGAGCAGCAAGACAGAUAGAGGCUCUCGGGGUCCAGGAAGGCUGCAGGUAGCCGGGCUGCCACAAGGGAGCAGUUGCCUGUGGGCUGCACCCCUGGAGCACAUCCCUGAGGCUUUGCCGACUCUCCCAGCUCCUGAUACCUUCCAGCCUGGAUCUGCCUGCCGAACGCCGUCCCUGGGCUCCGAGACGGCAGGUGCUGGGUCUCAGUCAGCUUGACUCUCUCAAUACCUAGCCUAGCGCUUGGAGCAUAAUAAGCAGCAAAUAAAUAUUUCAUGAAUGAAUAAAAGUGCCUGUCU